AGGACAUACAUAAUUUGCAACUUCAUAUUGUUUAUAUAUAAAAAAUCAAAGGUGGUUUCCCUCUUUCUAUGAUCAAUUUCAUUUAAUUUUUGCCUGUUUUUUCUUAUUUAAUAUUGUAUUAUUUUUUCUCAUUUAAAUUCACAAGUGAGAUGAUUAAACUCAAUUCAUGACUAUCAUUUCAUUUCAGGUCUGAUCAAAUGAAAAUCAUUAAUAUUAUGUCAUAUUUUCGUAUCAUAUUUGAUGUGUUUUGCACAACUGUUUAUUUUGAGAGUGCUCAACAUACAUCUCUAACAAUUGUGACUUCCUUGAUUAAAUAUAGAUCAAGUAUGGACAAUGUAAGAAGACGUGGUCCAAUACACAACUCGAUCUUGUGGCAUCUUCCGGUGAUUCAUGUGGUUGGAAUAUGGGAUGAAACAUAUUCCGUCAAGGAUAACAUGUUGGAGCCAAGCUUGGCGUGUGACCAAUCGAGGUGCUUGCUCCAUAUGAUGAUGAACAGUAGCUAUAUUAUAAAAUGGAGGUGUAUAUCAUGAUAACAACAAUUGUAUUCUGCCUACAAGGUUUUGUGGCCCAAAACAAAAUUCAUGAAGACUUAUUACCAA